rnacentral:rRNA from 1 species
CUGCCCAGUGACUAUAUGUUUAACGGCCGCGGUAUUUUGACCGUGCGAAGGUAGCGCAAUCACUUGUCUUUUAAAUGAAGACCUGUAUGAAUGGCACGACGAGGGCUUAACUGUCUCCUUCCUCCAGUCAAUGAAAUUGAUCUCCCCGUGCAGAAGCGGAGAUUUUUACAUAAGACGAGAAGACCCUAUGGAGCUUUAGACUAUUAAGACAGACUAUGUUAAAUACUCAAGAACAAAAGACCGAACAGUAUACACACUGCCCUUAAUGUCUUUGGUUGGGGCGACCCUGGGGAACAACAAAACCCCCAUGAAAACGGGGAGAACAGACUCCUACAGACAAAAGCCACACCUCUAACUCACAAAACUUCUGACUUACAUGAUCCGGCCAUGCCAAUCAACGGACCGAGUUACCCUAGGGAUAAC